UACGAGGGGGGCGAGCGUUGUUCGGAAUUACUGGGCGUAAAGGGCGCGUAGGCGGCCAUCUAAGUCAGACGUGAAAUCCCCCGGCUUAACCUGGGAACUGCGUCUGAUACUGGACGGCUUGAGUAUGGGAGAGGGAUGUAGAAUUCCAGGUGUAGCGGUGAAAUGCGUAGAUAUCUGGAGGAAUACCGGUGGCGAAGGCGGCAUCCUGGACCAUUACUGACGCUGAGGCGCGAAAGCUAGGGGAGCAAACGGG
rnacentral:rRNA from 1 species